rnacentral:rRNA from 1 species
AGUGGCGAACGGGUGAGUAAUGUAUCGGAACGUGCCCAGUCGUGGGGGAUAACUGCUCGAAAGAGCAGCUAAUACCGCAUACGACCUGAGGGUGAAAGCGGGGGAUCGCAAGGCCUCGCGCGAUUGGAGCGGCCGAUAUCAGAUUAGGUAGUUGGUGAGGUAAAGGCUCACCAAGCCGACGAUCUGUAGCUGGUCUGAGAGGACGACCAGCCACACUGGGACUGAGACACGGCCCAGACUCCUACGGGAGGCAGCAGUGGGGAAUUUUGGACAAUGGGCGCAAGCCUGAUCCAGCCAUGCCGCGUGCGGGAAGAAGGCCUUCGGGUUGUAAACCGCUUUUGUCAGGGAAGAAAAGGUUCUGGCUAAUACCUGGGACUCAUGACGGUACCUGAAGAAUAAGCACCGGCUAACUACGUGCCAGCAGCCGCGGUAAUACGUAGGGUGCAAGCGUUAAUCGGAAUUACUGGGCGCAAAGCGUGCGCAGGCGGUUAUGCAAGACAGAGGUGAAAUCCCCGGGCUCAACCUGGGAACUGCCUUUGUGACUGCAUGGCUAGAGUACGGUAGAGGGGGAUGGAAUUCCGCGUGUAGCAGUGAAAUGCGUAGAUAUGCGGAGGAACACCGAUGGCGAAGGCAAUCCCCUGGACCUGUACUGACGCUCAUGCACGAGAGCGUGGGGAGCAAACAGGAUUAGAUACCCUG